AGGGAGUGCAGAAUUAUUAGGCAAAUGAGUAUUUUGACCACAUCAUCCUCUUUAUGCAUGUUGUCUUACUCCAAGCUGUAUAGGCUCGAAAGCCUACUACCAAUUAAGCAUAUUAGGUGAUGGGCAUCUCUGUAAUGAGAAGGGGUGUGGUCUAAUGACAUCAACACCCUAUAUCAGGUGUGCAUAAUUAUUAGGCAACUUCCUUUCCUUUGGCAAA